UUUCAAUUGAACAGGGAAGAGUAAGUCCAAGGUGUGGAUAGUUCUGGUAGUUGUAUUAGCAAUUGCCAUAACUACUGCCAUGCUAGUCGCCAUCUGUUAUGCACGCAGAAGAAGGAAAAACUUCAGAGAGAUAGCAGAAAAUAUAUCUGAAGGGCGAGAGUGAACACCCUGAUGAUGACUUGGAGCUCCCAUUAUUCGACCUACACACAAUUGCUGAGUCCACAAACAAUUUUUCAAUGAGGAACAAGCUAGGUGAAGGCGGUUUUGGACCAGUAUACAAGGGUAUACUUGUAGAUGGAUGAGAAAUCGCUGUGAAGAGACUUUCAAGUAGCUCUAGGCAAGGACUGAGGGAGUUCAAGAAUGAGGUCAUACUAAUUGCGAAACUUCAGCACCGAAAUCUAGUAAAG